ensembl:lncRNA
CCCUGGGACGGGGACAGCGGAGGUUCUAGGUGACCUGCCCCAGGAGGUAGCGAACACCAUCACUUCGGCAAGAGCACCGUCUACGAGACACGCUUACGCCUUGAAGUGGAACCUGUUCGUCAGUGGUGUUCUUCUCGCCGAGAAGACCCCCGAAGAUGCCCGAUUGCGGUUGUGCUUUCCUUUCUGCAGCAAGGGCUGGAGCGAAGGCUGUCUCCCUCCACCCUCAAAGUCCAGGUUGCCGCUAUUGCUGCGUACCAUGACCCCGUGAAUGGGAAGUCUUUAGGUAAGCAUGACCUCGUCAUCAGGUUCCUUAGAGGGGCCAGGAGGUUAAAUCCUUCCCGGCCCCCCUCCAUACCCUCUUGGGACCUGACUCUGGUGCUAAAAUCACUACAGCAGGGCCCAUUCGAGCCUUUGCAUUCAGUCGAGCCAAAGUUUCUUUCAUUGAAAACUCUGCUCCUGCUUGCACUGGCCUCCAUCAAGAGGGUAGGGGACCUGCACGCAUUUUCGGUCGACGAUUCGUGCCUAGAGUUUGGGCCGGCUGACUCCCAGGUAAUCCUGAGGCCCCGGCCCGGCUACGUGCCCAAGGUUCCCACUACACCCUUCAAAGACCAAGUGGUGAACCUGCAAGCGCUGCCCCUGGAGGAGGCAGACCCAGCCCUAGCUUUGCUCUGUCCCGUCCGAGCAUUGAGAUGCUACGUAGACCGGACACAAAGCUUCAGGACCUCAGACCAGCUCUUUGUCUGUUACGGAGGCCGGCAGAAGGGGAAUGCCGUCUCUAAGCAGAGGAUGGCCCACUGGAUUGUGGAUGCCAUAGCCCUGGCUUAUCAGGCACAGGGUGUGCCCUGCCCGUUCAGGUUGCGAGCUCACUCGACAAGAAGUGUUGCAUCCUCCUGGGCGCUGGCUCGUGGCGCCUCGCUGACAGAUAUUUGUAGAGCUGCGGGCUGGGCGACCCCUAACACGUUCGCUAGGUUCUAUAGCCUUCGUGUAGAGCCGGUAUCCUCCUGUGUUCUCACCUCAAACGGGUAGUGGCACCGAGAGGCCCCGGUUAGUGUCGGCUUGCUAAAACCGCUCCAGAGUGUCCGUACUGCAGACCCUGUUGAGAUCCUCCAUCACCCUAGGCAGCUGGGACGCGGCGGGAACGUCCGGCGCCAGGCCUUCAUGAUGAAUCCGUGAGAACCAUGGAAGGCUGGGUUCCAUAUUGAGACUUAAACGGUACUCAUAUGUGUAUAGUCCACGGUAUAGCCUUAGAGCCCGUGUUUCCCCGGCAGACUUCUGCCUUCCCAAGAGGGUUUUAAUCACCUCAAAUUUCUCCAUAUACACCUAAACGGAUGCUAUGUGUGUAUUUGCUCCCGAGACCUCCUUCGGGAAGGAUGGGGCUUCCGCAGCGUCCCUGUUCCAAGCGACGGAGUACGUUUUCCCAGUGUUAUCCAAUCUCACCCAGUGAUGU